rnacentral:rRNA from 1 species
AUACGAAGGGGGCUAGCGUUGUUCGGAAUUACUGGGCGUAAAGCGUCAUGUAGGCGGACAUUUAAGUCGGGGUGAAAUCCCGGGGCUCAACCUCGGAACUGCCUUUGAUACUGGGUGUCUAGAGUGUGGAAGAGGUAGGUGGAAUUCCGAGUGUAGAGGUGAAAUUCGUAGAUAUUCGGAGGAACACCAGUGGCGAAGGCGGCUUACUGGUCCAUUACUGACGCUGAGGUGCGAAAGCGUGGGGAGC